rnacentral:rRNA from 1 species
GAUGAACGCUGGCUACAGGCUUAACACAUGCAAGUCGAGGGGAAACGACGGGGAAGCUUGCUUCCUCGGGCGUCGACCGGCGCACGGGUGAGUAACGCGUAUCCAACCUGCCUCUGACUGAGGGAUAACCCGUCGAAAGUCGGCCUAAUACCUCAUGGCAUCGUCUGCGGGCAUCCAACGACGAUUAAAGAUUUCAUCGGUCAGGGAUGGGGAUGCGUCUGAUUAGUUAGUUGGUGGGGUAACGGCCCACCAAGGCGACGAUCAGUAGGGGUUCUGAGAGGAAGGUCCCCCACAUUGGAACUGAGACACGGUCCAAACUCCUACGGGAGGCAGCAGUGAGGAAUAUUGGUCAAUGGGCGAGAGCCUGAACCAGCCAAGUAGCGUGCAGGAUGACGGCCCUAUGGGUUGUAAACUGCUUUUAUGCGGGGAUAAAGUGAGGGACGUGUCCUUCAUUGCAGGUACCGCAUGAAUAAGGACCGGCUAAUUCCGUGCCAGCAGCCGCGGUAAUACGGAAGGUCCGGGCGUUAUCCGGAUUUAUUGGGUUUAAAGGGAGCGUAGGCCGUGGAUUAAGCGUGUUGUGAAAUGCAGGUGCUCAACGUCUGCACUGCAGCGCGAACUGGUCCACUUGAGUGUGCGCAACGCAGGCGGAAUUCGUCGUGUAGCGGUGAAAUGCUUAGAUAUGACGAAGAACUCCGAUUGCGAAGGCAGCUUGCGGGAGCACAACUGACGCUGAAGCUCGAAAGUGCGGGUAUCGAACAGG